rnacentral:rRNA from 1 species
CCUACGGGAGGCAGCAGUGAGGAAUAUUGGUCAAUGGACGAGAGUCUGAACCGGCCAAGUAGCGUGAAUGAUGACUGCCCUAUGGGUUGUAAUCUUCUUUUAUAUUUGAAUAAAAUGUUCCCCGUGUGGGAUUUUGUAUGUACCAUAUGAAUAAAGAUCGGCUAACUCCGUUCCAUCAGCCGCGGUAAUAAGGAGGAUCCGAGCUUUAUGCGGAUUUAUUGGGUUUAAAGGGAGCGUAGGUGGAUUGUUAAGUCAGUUGUGAAAGUUUGCGGCUCAACCGUAAAAUUGCAGUUGAAACUGGCAGUCUUGAGUACGUGAGAGGUGGGCGGAAUUCGUGGUGUAGCGGUGAAAUGCUUAGAUAUCACGAAGAACGCCGAUUGCGAAGGCAGUUCACUGGACUGCAACUGACACUGAGGCGCGAAAGUGUGGGUAUCAAACAGGAUUAGAUACCCCAGUAGUC